rnacentral:rRNA from 1 species
CUUCGGCUCUCGCCUUUAGAUUGGCCCAAGUGGGAUUAGCUAGUUGGUGAGGUAAUGGCUCACGAAGGCGACGAUCCCUAGCUGGUUUGAGAGGAUGAUCAGCCACACUGGGACUGAGACAGGCCCAGACUCCUACGGGAGGCAGCAUGGGGGAAUAUUGCACAAUGGGCGUCAAGCCUGGAUGCAGCCAUGCCGCGUGUGUGAAGAAGGCCUUCGGGUUGUAAAAGCACUUUCAGUCAGGAGGAAAGAUUAGUAGUUAAUACCUGCUAAUUGUGACGUUACUGACAGAAGAAGCACCGGCUAACUCCGUGCCAGCAGCCGCGGUAA